GCAAACUUGGUCAUUUAGAGGAAGUAAAAGUCGUAACAAGGUUUCCGUAGGUGAACCUGCGGAAGGAUCAUUAUUGAACUCUGAACGCUUGCGGCUUCACUUCUGUUGCUGACUCCUUCACGGGGGAGUAUGUGCACGAUGCGAAGUCGCUUGCCUCUUCUUUGUCCACCUGUGCACCUUUUGUAGAUCCGGAUGCCGCUCGCUUUGGUUCAAGGCGGAUUUCGAAGGGCUUGCCUUUUGGGGCUCCCUUUGCGCUUCGGGUCUAUGUUCUACAUCAUCUCUUGUAUGUUCAGAAUGUCUAGUUUAUCGGACUUCAUCGUCCUUUAACAACUCAAUACAACUUUCAACAACGGAUCUCUUGGCUCUCGCAUCGAUGAAGAACGCAGC
rnacentral:misc_RNA from 1 species